UCCAGACUCCUACGGGAGGCAGCAGUGGGGGAUAUUGCACAAUGGGGGGAACCCUGAUGCAGCGACGCCGCGUGGGUGAAGGAGCGUUUCGGCGCGUAAAGCCCUAUCGGCAGGGAAGAAGGAGGACGGUACCUGACUAAGAAGCCCCGGCUAACUACGUGCCAGCAGCCGCGGUAAUACGUAGGGGGCAAGCGUUAUCCGGAUUUACUGGGUGUAAAGGGGGCGCAGACGGCAGCGCAAGCCAGGAGUGAAAGCCCGGGGCCCAACCCCGGGACUGCUCUUGGAACUGCGCGGCUGGAGUGCAGGAGGGGCAGGCGGAAUUCCUGGUGUAGCGGUGAAAUGCGUAGAUAUCAGGAGGAACACCGGUGGCGAAGGCGGCCUGCUGGACUGCGACUGACGUUGAGGCCCGAAAGCGUGGGGAGCAAACAGGAUUAGAUACCCUAGUAAG
rnacentral:rRNA from 1 species